rnacentral:rRNA from 1 species
AUGGAUGGUUGGUUUUCUAGGAUCCCAGUUAUGGAAGUCCACAAGGUGAGGAGGCGUCGUCAUAAGGAUGUUUUCCUUAAGCUUGAUUUCCAAAAGGCUUAUGACCGCCUCGAUUGGUCGUUUCUGCGGUUGGUGCUUGAGCGUCGUCCAAGGGUGAGGCAGAGGGACCCUAUUUCCCAUUUCUUAUUCAACCUCGCGGUCGACGCCCUCACGACCAUCCUGGACAAAGCUAGGAUGGCCGGCCACCUCUCUGGCAUGGCUGGACUCCUGAUUCCUGUGGGUGGUGUCAUGCAUCUUCAAUAUGCGGAUGAUAUAAUGAUUAUGGUGGAGGGCUCGAACCUUGACAUUGUCAAUCUUAAGUUCCUCCUUCUAUGGUUUGAGGCCAUGUCGGGUCUUAAGAUCAACUUUGACAAGAGAGAGGUUAUGGCAGAACCUUGGUACAACUGUUUUACUUCGAAAGGAAGACAUGGGAGGGUUACACAUCCUUGCCUCCCAUCGCAUGAACGUGGCCCUCAUGUUGUGUUGGGUCUGGUGGAUCAUUUGAGGGGAGUGGGGAUUUGUGGCUGCAACUUCGUUAGGAUAAGUAUUGGUGGGGCGAGACCCUCCUUGCUUGCUCGUGCAUGGAUGGAUCCUAGUUCUGGAAGUCCAUCCAACGGAUCAAGCAGGAAUCCGCCUAGGGAAUUCCCAAACUUGUAUGCCAUCUGCGUGGAUCUGAUGGUGUUGGUCUCGGCAGCUGCUCUGAAUGGCCAUUGGAACAUAUUGUUCCGACGGCUGACUAUUCCUUGGACUUCUCCUCUUUGGAAAGCCCCUCUGCCCUUGAAGAUCAAGAUUUUUGUGCAGCAGUUAUUGGGGGACCGACUCCCAUCUGGGACGGAGGUACCCAAGAGACACGACCAUGGUAAUGGCUUGUGUUCCCUCUGUGAUGUCCCAGAGACAGGUUUCCACAUCCUCUUCUCUUGCACAGCUGUAAGAGUUCUCUAUAGUUUUGUUCGUAAGGCUCUAGGGCCUGGCUGGGAGGCCUUGGACCUAGCAGGAUUCCUUGAAACUAGGGCCAAUACUAGUACUAGAGGGGGUGGGGAUCUCACGGCGGCGAGCUCGCGGCCAUGGACGACGCCGUGGAGGAGCUCAAUCCUCCUUGCCGGAGCUGUCGAGGUCGAUGUACUUCUCGCGCCGUCCGACCGGACGCGCCGCUCGCGCUCGGGGUCGCUGCUGCCGCCGGAUCUGCUCCCGGAGCCGCGUCCGGAGCUCCACAUGUGGCCCCACAUGGCGGCUGGAGGCGGAAAGGGCUCGCCGGCGGCGAGAAAUGUGAGGAGGGGAGUGGGGAAUUGCGGAGCUCGUCGGCGGCGGGGGAUAGGGUUUCGACCCGCAAACGCAUCACGAACCCUUAGAUAUACUGGUCGGGGCGGGCGGUUUGCAGGCCGCGGUAAAUAUUUUUACGGGCCGGGCGAGUAUGCGGUUUCUGUUCUGACCGCAAAAUUGAGCCGAGCCCGUAUACUCGCCGGAAUUAUGCGGGUUUGUGGCUUUUGCGGGUCUGCUAGAGUUGCUCUUAGCCCCCAGUUCGGUGGUCCUGGAGGCCUCUCCAUCCUCCUCCUUGCGAUUCCCAUCUCCACGCUGGCCGGCCCGGGGCACCCGGUGCCGCAGCCGCGGCACCCACUGGCAUGUAGACCGCGCGGCCGCGGGCGCUCACCUGUCAGCGGCAAGGUGGUGUCGGCGGGACUCCCCGGCUGCCGAGUGUGCCGCGCUGCGCCCGUGCCGCGCCGUAGCCAUGCACGCAGCGGCAUGACCGAUGCACGCUCCCAGCGCUCCCCGCCGCGUGCCGCCACAUUUCCCCACCUCCCGCCGUCCUAUAAAACCCACACCACACGCGGCUAUACUCUGCAGAUAUCAGACACCAACACAGCUAGCAUUAGCGCCACCACCACCACCCAUCAGCCCCAUCACCACUGCCAGUACCAGCUAGCUAGCUUAAGCUUGCAGCAACUGCUUGCGCCUAGACUUCAAGCUUGUGAUUUGCCUACAUACUCAAGCUAA